GAUGAAGAACGCAGCGAAAUGCGAUAAGUAAUGUGAAUUGCAGAAUUCAGUGAAUCAUCGAAUCUUUGAACGCACAUUGCGGCCGCCAGUAUUCUGGCGGGCAUGCCUGUUCGAGCGUCAUUUCAACCAUCAAGCCCCCGGCUUGUGUUGGGGACCUGCGGCUGCCGCAGGCCCUGAAAACCAGUGGCGGGCUCGCUGUCACACCGAGCGUAGUAGAUUUUCAUCUCGCUCAGGGCGUGCUGCGGGUUCCGGCCGUAAAAAGCCUUAUUUACCCAAGGUUGACCUCGGAUCAGGUAGGAAGACCCGCUGAACUUAAGCAUAUCAAUAAGCGGAGGA
rnacentral:misc_RNA from 1 species